GUUUGGGUUUGGGUUUGGGUUUUUGUUUUGUUUUUUUUUUUGGUUCUUCAAAUACUUGGGAAUGAGCAAUCACAACAAAUAAAAAUGAAAAAAAUUAAGAUAAGCAAUAAUAACGUGAAGGAACUCUCUAUAGGAUUUUUAUGUAGUGAUAAGCAAAUUGAAAUGUGAAGAAUGGCCAAGGAGUAAGAGGACAGCAUUGUGAGGCACCAAGUCUGAGCCCCAGAGCCAGUCAUGUCAUCUGGAUUUCUACUGAUUCCUUUAUUUAAAUUAAAAGAUACUGAGCAUCUGUCCAAAUGCAUGUGAAUGCUUGAGAAGCCUCACAAGUGAGUUUUAUUAAGCCCAUUAUGAUGCCUUAUUCAUCUUUUAAAGACAUCGCUUAUGUUGGACAUAAAGAAAAGAAAGUUUCAGAAAGACACUAACAUUGUGAUUCCAUAUAACUAUUGUAUGUGAAUAUAUAAAAAAAAUUGUAUCUUGUUCAAUUUAAUAUUAAAAUAUUGCAUCUUAAUUACCCUCUCUGAGCUCACACAUGUGAAACCUAAAGUUCCUCUAAAUGCUGUACCUAUAUUAAACAGUCUGAGAGGAUGAGUUAAUGGAUGGUACUGGAGGACUUUGGAGAGGUUAUAAUGUUCUAUAUUAGACUAUCAUACAUCCUUAAAAAACAAUUCAUCACCUGUCUAUAUGAUCUAGCAUCUUCUUAUCUAUUAGUUAAAUUAUUUUGGAACAUUCCAAACAAUCCCUAGAUUUUAUCAGCCUAAAGCUAAGAAUACCAUUAAAUGAUAUCUGAACUCUAUUGUAGAUGUUUCCUCAAUAUGCUAUAACAUAUAUAUAUAUAUAUAUAUAUAUAUAUAUAUAUAUAUAUAUAUUUCACCAAUGUAUUUGAAAUGUUGCUUAAUUUAUUAAUGUUCUUUGCACUAUCAAUGCAACAUCCUGAAAUUCUUUUAUUUAUUUAUUUAUUAUUCAGAGAUCUGCCUGCCUUGGCCUCCCAAGUGCUAGGAUUAAAGGCAUGUGCCUCCCCUGCCACACUCUCCUGAAUACCUCCUGAAUGCUUAUACAUUAGCAUGUGAUAUUUGACAAAAACAAUACUCACCAUCUCUGGCCAUGGUUACUCAGUUUAUCUGGUCAAAAACAAACUUUCUCUCAUUUCAUUUAUCUGGAAGCUCUGUUUCUAUGCCAUCACAGGUGUUUUCUGGUCAUGCAGAGGUGUCCAUUGUCAUCUGGUUCUAUCAUCAGUCUUGGUUCUUAUGCUGCUGAAGGAGAAAAAUACAGAAGGAAUGAAUUUGUUCAACAAGAAAGCAGGAAGCUAAAGAACAGACUGAAGCCAGCAGCAGAGGCCCCCAUCCUUGUGUGCAUGGGACUUAAAUCUUUGAUCACCACAUUAUCCUUUCUUUGGGGACUCCUUGGGGUAGAUAUAUUCAGGAAAGGAUGUGUGUUUCUCAGAAAUUAUUUUCCCCAGAAUUAUUCAUUUUAUAAGUAGAUGCAUUACAUAGGAAUUUGUUUAGGGUCUUUUUUGUUUGUUUGUUUUUGUUGUUUUAUUUUUUUC
rnacentral:lncRNA from 1 species